UUGGCUGCUGUAACGGUCGUUUCUCGUCGCCGCGUGUAGUUCGCGUAAUUGCGAGCGUUCCAGCAAGUCUAAACCGUUUUAGAGGCUUUGUAUUGUUGUUCUCACCUGGUGCUGUCGUUCUUGCAACCCGGCUGAUAUUGCAACUGUCCGUAAGUGGAAGCGUUUCUUCUAACCGCGAGCAGGCCAGUCGGUCUCGUUUGACAUGUCAAAGAGUGAAGACGCUGCCUUGCAUGUGAAGCCAAAUCAUCCUUCGCCUUCAGGAUUCUUGCCGUUUCAGGGAUCUGCACAACGACAGGGAGAUAGAACGCCAAGUGAAGUCGACUGUACUUUGUGCAGACGGUUCAGCGUGUAUGACGCAGCGGCCUCCAGCAAGAGAAACUCAAGCACCGUGUUCAAAUGCGGUGGGGACUCUUGCUCGCCAUGACAACGCUUAGAAGUGCUUUUUCGGAAGAAGGUCAAGUUGGACCGGAAAUGAGGACCUAGGUGUGCUGUUUUGCGCUGUUCACCGUUCGAUCACUACCAGGUUUUGUGCCCCCGUGAGUUCAACGCUCAGGUAUGUUGAUGAUAAAUGGAUAUGCGUUAAAAAGGUACGUACUCCGGAGUGGUGAAUUGUUCUGGUGAAGUGAUUUGUUGUUGCUAUCUCCUGUUUCGUGAGGGUUCUUGUCGGUACUCAUAUACCGCAGGCAUGAGGGGCUUUCUUUGCAGAACAUUUCAGUAAACCAAGACUGCAGCAUUUUCAAGAUUGCCGUAACCAGCAUCCAUGCAGCUCUCAUGUCAACAUCAGCAUCAAGACAGCUCUGAUGUGAGCAUCAGCCAGGGCAGCUCUGAUGUUAACAUCAUCAUCAGAGCAGCUGUGAUGUUAACAUCAGAUCUGAUGUGAUUUGGGGCACUGUCUUGAUGCUA